rnacentral:miRNA from 1 species
AGCCAGGCAAUCUCUGUGAGUUCGAGGCCAGCCUGGUCUACAGAGUGAGUUCUAGGACAGCAAGGGACACAAAGAGAAACCCUGUCUCAA